CAACAGUUACUGAACCCUAUCAAACUCCGAAUGCCAUAUACUUGUACCCCGGCAGUCAGACUACGAAUGAUAAGAUCCGUGGUCAAAAGGGAAACAGCCCAGACCAUCAGCUAAGGUCCCAAAGUGUAAGUUAAGUGGGAAAGGAUGUGGGAUUUCUAAGACAACUAGGAUGUUGGCUUAGAAGCAGCCACUCAUUUAAAGAGUGCGUAAUAGCUCACUAGUCGAGAGAUCCUGCGCCGAAGAUGUAACGGGGCUCAAACUUACCACCGAAGCUAUGGAUGUGUACUUUGUACACGUGGUAGAGGAGCUUUCUGUACAGGUUGAAGUCAUACCGUAAGGAGUGGUGGACAGUACAGAAGUGAGAAUGCUGGCAUAAGUAGCGAAAAACAAGUGAGAAUCUUGUUGACCGAAUAUCUAAGGUUUCCUGGGGAAGGCUCGUCCUCCCAGGGUUAGUCGGGCCCUACGCCGAGGCCGAAAGGCGUAGGUGAUGGACAACUGGUUGAUAUUCCAGUACCACCAUAAUGCGUUUGACAAAUGGGAUGACGCAGGAGGAUAGGAUGUGCGCACUAUUGGAUGUGCGUCUAAGCACUUAGGGUGUUAAGUAGGCAAAUCCGCUUAACAUUAAGCCUG
rnacentral:rRNA from 1 species